UCGGGUGUGGUGCACGGUGCACGCUCUCUACUCUUGUUCUGUAUAGCUUGAACAGGAAGAGAACCGGGUUCGACUCCCGGCGCCUGAC